rnacentral:rRNA from 1 species
AGCAGCCGCGGUAAUUCCAGCUCCAAUAGCGUAUAUUAAAGUUGUUGCAGUUAAAAAGCUCGUAGUUGAAUUUCGGGAUCAAAGGAUCGGUCAUGCCUUGGUAUGUACUGGUCUUAUUGGUUCUCACCUUCUAAAGAACCAUAAUGUCAUUCAUUUGAUGUUAUGGGGAAUUAGGACUGUUACCUUGAAAAAAUUAGAGUGUUUAAAGCAGGCUUUACGCUUGAAUACAUUAGCAUGGAAUAAUGAAAUAGGACAUCAGAUUCUAUUUUGUUGGUUUCUAGGAUCGAUGUAAUGAUUAAUAGGGAUAGUUGGGGGCAUUAGUAUUCAAUUGUCAGAGGUGAAAUUCUUGGAUUUAUUGAAGACUAACUACUGCGAAAGCAUUUGCCAAGGAUGUUUUCAUUAAUCAAGAACGAAAGUUAGGGGAUCGAAGACGAUCAGAUACCGUCGUAGUCUUAACCAUAAACUAUGCCGACUAGGGAUCGGAUGAUGUUAAUUUUUUAAUGACUCAUUCGGCACCUUACG